ACGAGUUCUCGUUGAUGAUCGGUGCUUGCACCGAGAUUCAACAUGGAACGAGUGGCGGACGGGUGAGUAACACGUGGGUAACCUGCCCUUAAGUGGGGGAUAACAUUUGGAAACAGAUGCUAAUACCGCAUAGAUCCAAGAACCGCAUGGUUCUUGGCUGAAAGAUGGCGUAAGCUAUCGCUUUUGGAUGGACCCGCGGCGUAUUAGCUAGUUGGUGAGGUAAUGGCUCACCAAGGCGAUGAUACGUAGCCGAACUGAGAGGUUGAUCGGCCACAUUGGGACUGAGACACGGCCCAAACUCCUACGGGAGGCAGCAGUAGGGAAUCUUCCACAAUGGACGCAAGUCUGAUGGAGCAACGCCGCGUGAGUGAAGAAGGCUUUCGGGUCGUAAAACUCUGUUGUUGGAGAAGAAUGGUCGGCAGAGUAACUGUUGUCGGCGUGACGGUAUCCAACCAGAAAGCCACGGCUAACUACGUGCCAGCAGCCGCGGUAAUACGUAGGUGGCAAGCGUUAUCCGGAUUUAUUGGGCGUAAAGCGAGCGCAGGCGGUUUUUUAAGUCUGAUGUGAAAGCCCUCGGCUUAACCGAGGAAGCGCAUCGGAAACUGGAAAACUUGAGUGCAGAAGAGGACAGUGGAACUCCAUGUGUAGCGGUGAAAUGCGUAGAUAUAUGGAAGAACACCAGUGGCGAAGGCGGCUGUCUGGUCUGUAACUGACGCUGAGGCUCGAAAGCAUGGGUAGCGAACAGGAUUAGAUACCCUGGUAGUCCAUGCCGUAAACGAUGAAUGCUAGGUGUUGGAGGGUUUCCGCCCCUUCAGUGCCGCAGCUAACGCAUUA
rnacentral:rRNA from 1 species